AAGCAGUGAGGACAUGUCCUUUACUGUUUAUAUAUUGUAAAUUCCAACAGUUACCAAAUCAAAAUAUACUUUAUUUUGCAAAUUGUUGCAUGUUUAUCUAGGGUGAAAGUUUGGUUGCCAAUGUAGCGAACAAAUUUUAAGGCUUUAAUUGUUACUGUUCUGCUGCUGCAGAACUGAUAUGUCAUCUUAGAUAAUUAUUCUAGUUUUAGCUUUAACUUGUUGCACUUUCAUGGUUUUUAUGGCAAAUAGCUUGAUAAGACUGUCUUGGUUCCUCAUGAUGUAUGCUUUAGGUUCAGGUUAUGUAGACACUG
rnacentral:misc_RNA from 1 species